ACCCGCCUUGGCCUCCCAAAGUUUUAGGAUUACAGGUGUGAGCCACCAUACCCAGCCCUGAUUUUCUCUUUGUGGAUGGUUGGGCUGUUUAAGAAACAUGGGGUUUUUUUUUACUGUCUCCACUUAGAACUUUGUUGUUUAGGCCUUUUUCUAUGAGUUCCAUAGGCAUAUUUUUGCCAUGAUACUUGCUUGGACUUGAUAUUUCUAGGCUUCUCGAGGAUUUAUCAUUCUAUCAUCUAGGCAUCCUGCCUUCUGAUCAUUCUCCUUGCUGCUUCCAUGCUGGAAGUGAUGCUAGAGGCACAGGUCUGUGCAAUUAUUUCUACACCAUAGGUACACGGGGUGCUUAAUGGCAGAGCCUGUAUUUGUCAGUUGGUGGUUUAGACAAGUUACAGGUAAAACACUAUGAAAGCCUGUGUCUAGAUUCUUAUCUCUUUUUCUCUAGCGGAAUCAAACAGACAGAAAUGAAGUUGAAUGCUGGGAAGUCUUUGUUUAAAAAAGUAGAUGUUGUUGUCUAGAAUCACAGAGACACUCAGAAGGAAUUGGGACUGGAUGUGGAGGAAAGACAUCAUAAAACCUUACAUUAAAAGCCAAAGGUGUGAAGUUAGGUCUAGUCAAAAGUGUUAAUUCUGAAAGACCAACACACAUCAUCCUGGACUGUGAAGGUGUGCCUUCUGUAAGUUGAAUGGAAUGAGAUCUUCUUCAGUGCACCUGAUGUCUUGGGAAGGGUGUGAAUCAUGGCAAUACAGUGAAAGACGGUGAUUUACUGCUUUUGAGGGCAUGCAUGGAUAUGAUUAACGGAUGGAAGUGCAGGACUCCAAGAUUUACUUCUUUCCCUUUCCAGCAGAGUUACCUGAGAGGAGUAAAAUCUGCUGGUGGAGUCACUCCAUUAUUCUUAUCUGUGGAGAUCUAGAUCUUGAUUUGAAAGUUUCUGAGAAAAUCUUCAGCUCAGACUUGAGGUCAACUUUACCAACUGAAGGAUCUGCAUUUACUGCUCAACCACAACUAAUUUGAUGCCCUCUGCAGAUUUAAAAUGUGUGCCUUCUUUUCCAUCACCAAGUCAUCCCUGGGUUACUACUGAACAUCUUUCUCAAUUCCCCCCGACCCAUGGAUGGCUGUUCUCCACUGUCUAUUUCACCAGAUAUCCUCAAAACAAACAGAAGGAGGAAGUGGCUAAUGGAGCCGUGGAGUCCAAGUGUGACUGCCAAGAGGAAUCCAGCAAAGCCAAAGAGCCCGAGCAUGUAGCCCUGCCCGAAGCCUGCCACACGCAUGGAAAACCCAGAGGAAAUGAGUGAGGAUCAAUGGGAAGAAGGGAGCCAGCCAGGUUCGAUGCCUUCUCCAUCCGUCAGUGAGGGUGUGGAGAGCCUGCAGGCGUGUGCCUACCUCUGUAACUUGCUAUUCCUUGUGUAAUGUCAAGUGGAAGUGCGAAGCACCACAAACUGCUCUGAGCAGAGCCCACUUCCCUUCACCCACGGAGAGCGUGAAGCAGUUACACCAACAUCAAUCAAGGAAAACCCACAGGCUGAGCUCACACGGUUGAAGCAGCUCUGUAUUCUAAGAACCUGGAAACACUCUUUACUCACACUAUUAAGAUGAUUGAGAAAAAUGGAUGGAUAGAGUUUGUUUGUUAAAAGAAAAACUGGAUGACUACCUUGCUGUCUCACUCCUUUUUGCUCUAUUGAGAAACAGGAUUGGUCUCAGAGUUUAUCUGCUUGUGCAGCUGCCAUUUCCUCACCAUUUUGCAACUGAGGUCUACCCUUGAGAUCAUACUGCACAAGAAAGAAGCAACGUGGAAAACUCAUCACUGUGCAGGUCACUUUUCCAACUUUCGACUCUCUUCUAUGGUUUGCUUGCUUUUGAGAGGUGGUUGUUUUCUUAAAUGUAUUUUAUUCAGUUUUUAGCUGUGAUUAGAAUGAGGAAAGGGCUACCAUGAUUGAACUAGAAUGUUUAUUAAAUUUUUUUUGCCAGAAAAAAUACUGAUUAUAUGUCAAGGUAUAGAACCUGUCUUUUAAAAUUAACCAAACCAAGCCAGGCACAGCAGCUCAUGCCUUCUGAGAGGCCCAGGUG